UAGUAACGGCGAGUGAAGCGGGAAGAGCUCAAGCUUAAAAUCUCCGUGCAAGUUUUGCGCGGCGAAUUGUAGUCUAUAGAGGCGUGGUCAGCGUGGGCGCUUGGGGCAAGUUCCUUGGAAGAGGACAGCAUGGAGGGUGAUACUCCCGUUCAUCCCUGAGUGGCUCGUGCGUACGACCCGUGUUCUUUGAGUCGCGUUGUUUGGGAAUGCAGCGCAAAGUAGGUGGUAAAUUCCAUCUAAAGCUAAAUAUUGGUGCGAGACCGAUAGCGAACAAGUACCGUGAGGGAAAGAUGAAAAGAACUUUGAAAAGAGAGUUAAAGAGUACCUGAAACUGCUGAAAGGGAACCGAAUCGUUUCCAGUGUCUAUAAUCCGUGGCAUAUUUCAUUGGCGAGUGUGCGCGUGCGUGUGCUGUGGCAGCGGCCUUUUUGGGCUGCGCUCGGUGCGUGUGCUGUGUGUGCUUGCUGGUGCCCUGUGCUGCGGUGGGACGUCAAGGUCAGUUCGUAUGCUGCGGGAAAUGGCUGCCGAGGAGGUAGGGCUUACGCUCCGCGUUUGUCUGUUAUAUCUUGGUGGACGAGUCGUCGCGGUUGGGACUGAGGUGCCUACAACGUGCUUUUGAGUGGGUCUGUGUCUCCGUGUGCGCCGUGUGCGGAUAGCUUGCUAUGCGUGUGUGGUUGUGUGUGGAUUGAUGCGGGCCUUAACUUGUCGCCGUUC
rnacentral:rRNA from 1 species